GGAGAGAUGGCCGAGUGGUUGAAGGCAACAGUCUUGAAAACUGUCAGGGUUCAUAGCCCUCGAGGGUUCGAAUCCCUCUCUC
rnacentral:tRNA from 1 species